rnacentral:lncRNA from 1 species
GACUACAGGCGCCCGCCAUCACGCCCGGCUAAUUUUGUGUAUUUUUUAGUAGAGACGGGGUUUCACCGUGUUAGCCAGGAUGGUCUCGAUCUCCUGACCUCGUGAUCCGCCCGCCUCGGCCUCCCGAAGUGCUGGGAUUACAGUCUUGAGCCACCGCGCCCGGCCCUGAGAUGUCUCCAAGUGGUGGUGAGACAUCAUCAAAUCCUAAGAAACAAUAUACUUGAAGAUUUUUCACUCACUGCAUCAAAGACAAGAAUGAGGCAGAUGAAAAUCAUAUGCAAAAACACAACAAAUAGAAAAGCAAUCAUCAAGAAAAUGUCUCCAGUGAGAUUCCCAUUGUUGUGAAGGGGCGUGUAAGUAUAUUUGCACUCAAACAGCUUCAGAAGUGCUUGCCUGAUGAAAAGGACUCACCAAGAGCUGAAGAGUUUGGCAUCACAGUCUAAGUGGUUCCUUGUUGGCAAUGGCCAUUGUCAUCAUAAGGCUGGAUUUAACUUCAG